GAGAGGGACAGCGCAGAUGUAAGCACCUCUGGAGCCUUGAAUUUCCAGUCUACUUGUAGUAGGCGACACUAGUCUGUUGCUGGGAUUUUCCUCUGGGAUAACCAGCGGCCACCAUACGGAUGUAUUGUGGUUCACAGAUCAAACACUGGUGGCCUGAGAAGUUCACAGCCCAACUCACUGCCCUUCGGGGCACUAGCCUACGGGCAACUUCCGGUGUGAGCUUGAGUGGUGAAUUGGGCGUGAACGCGGGUUAAAAUAUGACCGGCCCCAUCUGGAAACAGAUCGGGAGUCAAGUGUUCCGUAGGUGAACCUGCGGAAGGAUCAUUACAGAGUUAGGGUCUUUUGGGCCCAACCUCCAACCCUAUGUGUAUUUUACCUUCGUUGCUUUGGCGGGCCCGUGAGGCAACUCACAGGCGGUCACCGGCUGUCGAGUGCCCGCCAAAGACCCAUUAAACUCUGUCAAUUGUGCAGUCUGAGUACCAAUACAAUUGUUAAAACUUUCAACAACGGAUCUCUUGGUUCUGGCAUCGAUGAAGAACGCAGCGAAAUGCGAUAAGUAAUGUGAAUUGCAGAAUUCAGUGAAUCAUCGAAUCUUUGAACGCACAUUGCGCCCUUUGGUAUUCCGAGGGGCAUGCCUGUUCGAGCGUCAUUGCACCACUCAAGCUUCGCUUGGUAUUGGGCCUUCGUCCCCCGUGGAUGUGCCUGGAAAUCAGCGGCGACGCAGCCCGGCUUCAAGCAGUAUUAGUUAAUCCUUUGCUUUGAAAGCCUGAGCUGACGAUCAGCCGGACAACCCCUAAUUUUUCUCAAGGUUGACCUCGGAUCAGGUAGGGAUACCCGCUGAACUUAAGCAUAUCAAUAAGCGGAGGAAAAGAAACCAACAGGGAUUGCCUCAGUAACGGCGAGUGAAGCGGCAACAGCUCAAAUUUGAAAUCUGGCUCUUUCAGGGUCCGAGUUGUAAUUUGUAGAGGAUGCUUCGGGUACGGCUCCGGUCUAAGUUCCUUGGAACAGGACGUCACAGAGGGUGAGAAUCCCGUACGUGAUCGGCCUCCACGCCCGUGUGAAGCUCCUUCGACGAGUCGGGUUGUUUGGGAAUGCAGCUCAAAAUGGGUGGUAAAUUUCAUCUAAAGCUAAAUAUUGGCCAGAGACCGAUAGCGCACAAGUAGAGUGAUCGAAAGAUGAAAAGCACUUUGGAAAGAGAGUCAAACAGUACGUGAAAUUGUUGAAAGGGAAGCGCUUGCAACCAGACUUGCCUGCAGGUGAUCAACCGGUAUUCUUACCGGUGCACUCGCCUGUGGUCAGGCCAGCAUCGGUUUGGGCGGCUGGAUAAAGUUCACCGGAACGUAGCUCCUCUCGGGGAGUGUUAUAGCCGGAGGUGCAAUGCAGCCCGCCCGGACCGAGGACCGCGCU
rnacentral:sRNA from 1 species